rnacentral:pre_miRNA from 1 species
UGAUGAUGAUGAUGAUGAUGAUGAUGAUGAUGAUGAUGGUGAUGAUGAUAAUGAUGAUGAUCAUCAUCCUCAUCAUCAUCACAAGCAGCACUACCA